rnacentral:ncRNA from 1 species
AUUCGACGGUGAUGCUGAACUUUUUAGUAUCAUCUUCAUACCUCCCUGUUGGACUUCGGCCGAGCUUCGUGCUCGGCCUUUUUU